GGGGCGAUCGGCAGAGCGGUCAAUUUAGAUGGUCAAUUGGCGCAAAAUAUUGAUUUUGUGCGUAAAGUGACGGCCUGCAAAGCCGUUUAGGCCGGUUCGACUCCGGCUCGCGCCUCCA
rnacentral:tRNA from 1 species